AAGAACGUUAAGUCAUGAAAUGGAAAAGAUUGUGAACUUUUAAAUGGAGGACAAAUAGAAAUAAAUAAACAACCCAUGAGAAUGCAUGCCAUCUGCAGAAAAGCAAAAGAGCUAUUGCAGGCAUCUCACUGAAACUGUGAGGAAGAAAGGUCCUGAGUGGGCAAGAUACAGAGAAUAUUAAAAAGUGAGCCUCCAUAUCCCCAAGAAAUGAGUGCUUUAGCUAAAGACCUAAUUCAGCGUCUUUUGAUGAAAGAUCCCAAGAAGAGAUUGGGAUGUGG
rnacentral:sRNA from 1 species